rnacentral:lncRNA from 1 species
UGUACAUUACGUCCCAGAAAUUAUUUAUCAUGUAACUGAAGGUUUGUGUCUUUCUCUUCUUCAGUACAUAUACCCUGCUCACCACCAACCCAUCCUUUCCUCGACUCCUCAAGACUGAGAGCUCCAAAGGAGGCAUUCUUGACAAAGUGAGUGAAAGAAGGGACACACCUUUGCUCAUCCGUUUGGGAGAGGGCUUUGCAUUUAUUGAGUACCCAUCGUAUUCUGGAUCAUCUGGGUGAGGGAUUGCCCUGCUCUCUAGUAGAAGAAGAAACACGGACCCCUGAAGCAUGUAAGGAAGAGGAAGUGCUGCAUUGUGUCAGAGUGACUUUAAAACUCCUUCAGUGACCCCCUCUUCCACGGUGACAGGUGAGAGACAGAGCACUCCUUGGAGGAGUUAGGGCUGAAGAAGUAGGACAUGGAUGACGUUCUAAUAAUAAUAGCGAUAAUGUGGCAGGUACC